UUCAGUCAACAUACGGCCACAAACCCACCCAAUCUCAUCUGAUUUUGGGAGCUAAGAGGGUAAGGGAUGGUUAGUGCUUAGAUGGGUUCUCCAAAUAGGGCUAGGAAACAAUCCUGGCUCAAG
rnacentral:rRNA from 1 species